rnacentral:rRNA from 1 species
UACAGAGGUCCCGAGCGUUGUUCGGAUUCACUGGGCGUAAAGGGUGCGUAGGCGGUCUGUUAUGUCGGAUGUGAAAGCCCUUGGCUCAACUGAGGAAGUGCAUCCGAAACUGGCAGGCUAGAGUACGUAAGAGGGUCGCGGAAUUCCCGGUGUAGAGGUGAAAUUCGUAGAUAUCGGGAGGAACACCGGUGGCGAAGGCGGCGACCUGGGACGAUACUGACGCUGAGGUGCGAAAGCGUGGGGAGCAAACAGG